GUCUUUUUGAUUAUAAUUUAAAGUCUAACCUGCCCGCUGAGUAUUGAAUGGCCGCAGUAUUUUGACUGUGCAAAGGUAGCAUAAUCAUUAGUUUCUUAAUUAGAAGCUGGUAUGAAUGGUUGGACGAGAAAUUAACUGUCUCAAUAUAUUAUUAAAAUUUUAUUUUUAAGUUAAAAAGCUUAGAUAAUUUUAUUAGACGAGAAGACCCUAUAGAGUUUUAUAAUUUAUUAAAUUUAUUUUUUAGUAUAUAAAUUAUUUAAUAAAUUAUUUAAUUGGGGUGAUUGAUAAAUUAAAUUAACUUUAUCUUUUUUUUUACAUAAAUUUAUGAAUUUAUGAUCCUUUAUAAAGAUUAAAAGAAAAAAUUACCUUAGGGAUAACAGCGUUAUUUUUUUUUAGAGUUCAAAUCGAAAAAAAAGUUUGCGACCUCGAUGUUGGAUUAAAAUUAAUUUUUGGUGUAGAAGCUAAAAUAUUGGGUCUGUUCGACCUUUAAAAUUUUACAUGAUCUGAG
rnacentral:rRNA from 1 species